CCCACACAGCCCAGCUUUUUCCCUCUCCCAGGGUUGUUUUAAGUCCUUCAAGGUAUGGCGGGGGGACUACCCUGCCGCAAUUACACUGAUAAUUUUUGUUUGUGACACUUAAGUGUCAUUUUUGUUAUUUGCACACAUUUUGAUUUAAGGGAGUGGAUGGGUGGGUGGGUGCAUGUUUCUUUCAUAGGGAAGUACAUGGGGCAGGUGGACAUGAAUUGAACAGAGUUCUACCCAUCACUCAGCUGCUGGGGCACACAGGCCUUCCCUGCCCCUUCCAUCAAUGCUUCUUGUGCACAUCUUCCGGGCAGCCCGGAACACACUUUCCCUGUACACCUGUGCGGUCAUUUCCAUGUGUGGUGAGGAACUCCAAGCUGUCCAGAGAAGUCCCACCGCUUUGGGGUCCUCUCAUGGAAUGUGCACAUAUGCCCAAUAAAACCUAGGGCGAUGGGCCAAGCUGCAACAUGUUGCGGGACAUGUAUCAAUAGCGACCUUUUCCUGCAAAGAGUUUUGGUUUCAAUGACUCAGUCUUUUCCAAAUGAUAGAAGUUUUGUCAAAAAAUUCCCAGCCAACCAUAGUGUGAUGUCUGAGAUGAGGGAUGUACACAGCUGCCAAACUCACCCCAGCUGCCUGGUUCCUCUGAGGACAUGGGGACGUGAUCCCCAGCAGCAAGACAUGUCCGAGAGACUAGCCACUAGAUACUCCCCACCCUGGUAAAAUGCAAGGCCCUGGACACUGAGGAAGGGGACAGCUGUUGGGAAUCAUUCCUUUGGAGGUUGGAGUUCACUGCUCUCCAAAUGCAGAGCAAACCUACAUGGCUGUUUGUAUCAUGCUGGCUGCGUUUCUCUCUCUGAAUUAUUCAUUCCCAUUCUCUGUUGGUAGAAAACAUUCCUAGGCCAAGAGGAGCGAGAGCAGAGAAACCAGAGACCCUGCGGGUAGGAGCUGUUGCUGCAGGUUAGUCUGUGUCCCCUAGGUGGCAGGCCAGAGAGCAAACAGCAGCUGCCAGCGGUUUCCUAUUCCAUAUGGCUUUGAUAUUGGGAAGUCAGCCCUGAUAGCUGCAGACGAUCUGGAGCCAUCCUUUAUAAAGUAAAAGGCAGUGAUUGGUGUGCAUGUCUGCCACUGUUUCCCAUUUACACCAGAAGGCUUUGGGAACCAAUCCAGCAGCACUUACAGCCCAGGCAGCUUGUCAGGCCCAGCUCCAAAACGAUUUGUCAGAAGAAGAGUUUAACAAGUGAGGCUAGCCUAGCGUCCUUGCUUGGGAAUAGGUCAGGCAUUCACUGGGAGAGCAGCAUUCCGACACUUCUGUUUAGCAACACAGAGAGACAAAGUAAACACCAAGCAUUAGCUCACAGGGUGUGGUGAGGUCCCUGGAAAGUCAGCUGGCUGGAAUGCCGUAUGUUGACUUUCCUUCGGGCUACAAUGAAAUGACACUGACACUGUAAUUUAAGACGCUGAAAAUAGGUGCUCAGAUGUGAAACAAGCUCUCAAGUGUAUUAAUGCCUACUGCACACAGUGGAUUUUCAGGGAGCGCUCUGGCUAGCGGCAGCUCCUGGAUAAAUUACACAGAAAGCAAUGGGGCAGAAUCCGUUUGCAGGAGCAGUAGGCGGCCAUGGACCCUGGAGAGCAGUGACAGCUGGGGCCAUGUCAUACACCAAAAAGAACAGAGAGUGGUCACACAGAGAGUCCCCUGCACACCAUUGACUCAUUUCAACCAAUAGAAUUGCAGCUUGCAAAUUAGCCAGAGUGGAAGGGUUAUGUUUGGUUAAGUUACCUUUUGAGGUCAUAAUAGCACCACAUAGAAUAAUGUGACAUAUUGACCUAGCCCCGUCUAGUGUUUAUAGUCAUAACACUCACAGUGUUAAUCACUGCACUUAAUCACAACCGAAUGCCUUCAAGUGUAGCCUACAUGAGAUGGUCAAACUGUUUUGGUUGAAAAGCCUUUCUGACAGAAAACGGCUUGUUGAACAAUAUCAACGUUUGCCAAAAAACAUCAGGAGCAUUUGAAACUUUCUGAUUUUUUUUGUCAAAAAGAAAAUUUUCAUUUUAAUUUCAUUCCAUUUUUUAAAAAAUACUCUCUAUGCAAUUUGAUUUGAUUCAAAAAGAAAAACAUUCUUUUUUUGGUAGUGAC